AAUGAGUAUUGUGAUGCCAUGAAAAAUCAACUACUGCAUGGAAGAAAUAAUUUUCCUGCAAAAGAAUCAUAAAUGAUUUUGAAAAUAAACAAACAGGAAACAACUUCAAAGAUUACAAUUUAUACUUCAAAAUCAUUUGUUUCUUUAACAUGAAGCAUUCAAGCAGC